GGUAAACAGCGUUGCUUCCAGUGGCAGAAGACGCCUCCAGCAUGCAAUAGCGGUCACGAUAAGUCUGGAAGGAGUGAUUACCUCCAAGGCUGCCAUUAAUGCAGCUCAAAUGGCUUUCUAAAGUUUGAAACUGAGGCAGAUAGUAGGCCUCUGCCUUCUGCACAGGUUCACAGUAAAGCAUAUUAGACAUGGUUGUUCUUCUGCGCCGUGAUGCUUGCAUUGAAAAGAUUGUUCCUGCCUCGUCAAUAUAUGACCUAUGCAGUCUGGUAUCUCUUUGGUCUGCACGUUUAUUGGGCGUCAAGGAUUUUUCGCUUGACAAGGUUUCAUGGGUGCCACGGUGGAGUGAUUUUAAUCUUCACUGUGAGACCAACAUCA
rnacentral:misc_RNA from 1 species